CCUUUUCCUUCAAGAAGAUGAACGUAUCAAAUCUCCCCCGAAUAAGCAGCAUGUUCUUUCUGGUCGUAUUCCUUGCCACCAUUGAUCUCAGCCUUCAGCAGCUGCAAAGCCUGAAGGACGCAGAAUCGGUGCCUCUUGGUGGGACGGUCACCCUAUCUUGCAGAUACAAUCUGGGAGGCAUUGCUAAUGGCAAUCAUCCUUGGUGGGCCCAGCAACAUCCAGGCAAACCACCCCGGCUCUUAUUUUACAACACCAAUAUCAAGAUGUCUGACGUUCCAGUCCGGUUCUCUGCAUCGAAGUCAGGGAAUCUGAUGUCGCUGACCAUAACAGGAGCCUCGGCAGAAGAUGAAGCCAUGUAUUACUGCUGCUUGAACCCAGUGAGUUCGUGGCACAGUCAUUCAGCCAACAGGGUGCAGGCAAACACCUUCAGUUCCAUGUACAACAGUGCCAUGCUUGUUCUUAAAAUAAAAGGACAUUUGCAUACAGAGUUGCAUUCUUCGCCCCUGGGGAUUUAA